UACGUAGGGGGCAAGCGUUGUCCGGAAUUAUUGGGCGUAAAGAGCUCGUAGGCGGUUCGGUAAGUUGGGUGUGAAACCUCCAGGCUCAACCUGGAGACGCCACCCGAUACUGCUGUGACUAGAGUCCGGUAGGGGAGCGUGGAAUUCCUGGUGUAGCGGUGAAAUGCGCAGAUAUCAGGAGGAACACCAGCGGCGAAGGCGGCGCUCUGGGCCGGAACUGACGCUGAGGAGCGAAAGCGUGGGUAGCAAACAGG
rnacentral:rRNA from 1 species